rnacentral:rRNA from 1 species
CCUACGAGUGGCAGCAGUGAGGAAUAUUGGUCAAUGGGCGCGAGCCUGAACCAGCCAAGUAGCGUGAAGGAUGACUGCCCUACGGGUUGUAAACUUCUUUUAUAAAGGAAUAAAGUGAGGCACGUGUGCCUUUUUGUAUGUACUUUAUGAAUAAGGAUCGGCUAACUCCGUGCCAGCAGCCGCGGUAAUACGGAGGAUACGAGCGUUAUCCGUGUUUAUUGGGUUUGAAGGGAGCGUAGAUGGGUUGUUAAGACAGUUGUGAAAGUUUGCGGGUAAACCGUAAAAUUGCAAUUGAUACUGGCAGUCUUGAGUACAGUUGAGGUAGGCGGAAUUCGUGGUGUAGCGGUGAAAUGCUUAGAUAUCACGAAGAACUCCGAUUGCGAAGGCAGACUACUAAACUGCCACUGACAUUGAUGCUCGAAAGUGUGGGUAUCAAACAGGAUUAGAUACCCUUGUAGUC